UAUCCCGCGAACUUUCACUGGCGCCCUAACUUUUCAUAACAUUUUUGACAAAACAAAACAGUACAACAAAGAACACUAUGACGGACAGACAAAACAGAAAUCCCCACGACAGCCGCUUGCUAUCUCCUUUUGCUCGUUGGUCCACUCACCCUUCUCAUCUGAGGCGCCUUCCCGAGCAAUCCUUCCGAACGGGGUCCACAGGUAAGAAGCUCUAUGGCGUCCGCGUCCGGCAGAUUCUCCUUCGGGUGGUUGGAGAAAAACUCCCGGGUUUCGGCACCAGAUACCGCGUUCGCCCCUUGUGGCGGUGACGACAGCGAUACGUACACAGACCUGGUUCACUUCAGUUGUUUAUUGUUGCUCGGAAGGCCGGGAGAAGUCUUUUGCAGGCCUCAUGAUCCCUGCAAAGAACAAGAAGGCCACUAGGCGGCGGUCGCCACACAGAUGCAAUGAUUUCAGCCUAGCAAGACAGAAAACUGAGACAAUCAUGGCUCUAUCCCAGCCAAACACCGUGAAAAAAAUAAAUACAGCUCCAUUCCCCACUCCCGUCAGCAAAGGCUGAGUGAGGAGCCCUCCACUUCCUCUGAUACCUGGCUGUGACAGGAUGCCUGGUCUUGAAUGAGCGCCUCUUCUCCCUUCCCUGGGGGUGUAUCCAAGAAGACUAAGGAAGGAUUCCAGACUUUCCUCCCUGCCCAAUAGUAAAAAGCCCUCACUAUGGGGCUGGUUUUUUUCAGAACUGAAAAGUACCAUAACCAAAAUAAGAAGUUCACUUAAUGGGCUCCCCAGCAGAAUGGAGAGGAUCCAUGUGGCUAUAAGUAGAGAUCAAAUGUGCCAAAAGACAUACAACUACAGAUUCAAGGGGCUGAGAAAACCACAAACAGAAUAAACUUAAAGAGAUCCAAAUCAGGACACAUCAUAAUGAAACUCCUGAAAACCAAAGACAGAAAAUCUUGAGAGCAGCAUGGAGAGAAACCAUGGAAGCCAGCAGGAAGUGGCGCAACAUUUUCCAAGUGCUGAAGGAAAAGAACUGUCAGGCCAGAAUCCUACAUUCAUGAAAACUAUCCUUCAGUAGUGAAGGGGAAAACAAGACCUUUUUGGAAGAAAGAAAACUAAAAGAAUUUGUCGUCAGCCAGUCUACUCUAAAGAAGCACUGAAAUAAAUUACUAAGACAGGAAGGAGAGAAUAAAAGAAGGAAUCUUGGAAUAUCAGUAAGAAAGAAAAAGAACAAGCAAAAAAAAAAAAUAGGGUUAUACUU